UAAAAGAUAAGCUAAAUAAGCUACUGGGCCCAUACCCCUUCUAUGUAAGUUUUAAUCUUACUCUUUUUA
rnacentral:tRNA from 1 species